GGGGGGACCACCCUCCAACCCUAAAUACUACCCAGUGACCGAUAGCGUAUAGUACUGUGAAGGAAAGGUGAAAAGGACCCCGGGAGGGGAGUGAAAUAGAACCUGAAACCUUGUGCCUACAAGCACAUAGAGCACAUCAACGUGUGAUAUGGUACUUUUUGUAGAACGGUCCGGCGAGCGAUUGUAUGUUGCGAGCUUAAGGUCUUAAGGACUGGAGGCGUAGCGAGAGCGAGUCUGAACAGGGCGUUCAGUAGCAUGCAAUGGGCCCGAAACCGGGUGACCUACCCAUGAUCAGGCUGAAGUGAAAGUAAAAUUUCAUGGAGGGCCGAACCGACCUCCGUUGAAAAGGCGGCGGAUGAAUUGUGGGUAGCGGAGAAAUUCCAAUCGAACUCGGAGAUAGCUGGUUCUCCCCGAAAUAGCUUUAGGGCUAGCCUCAUAUUAGAUACCCGGAGGUAAAGCACUGAAUGGCCUAGCGCCCGAGAGGGUAGCGAAGCCUAUCAAACUAAGAAUGCCGGAGUAUUGAUGUAUGGGAGUCAGACAGUGUGAGAUAAAUCUCAUUGUCAAAAGGGAAACAGCCCAGAUCUACAGCUAAGGUCCCAAAUUGUAUCUAAGUGGAAAACGAUGUGGAAAUACGCAGACAACCAGGAUGUUGGCUCAGAAGCAGCCACUCAUUUAAAGAGUGCGUAAUAGCUCACUGGUCGAGCGUCUCUGCGCGGAAAAUUUAACGGGGCUAAGAUACAAACCGAAGCUUAGGCUGCAUCGUAAGAUGCGGGGUAGGGGAGCGUUGUGUAAGCGGAGAAACAGUAGCGUAAGCGGCUGUGGAGUUUACAGAAGUGAGAAUGCCGGAAUGAGUAGCGCGAAUGUGGUGAGAAUCCACAUGGCCGGAAACCUCAGGUUUUUGGAGGAAGGUUCGUCCGCUCCAAGUUAGGCGGGAGCUAAGGUCAGGCCGAAAGGCGUAGCCGAUGCACAGACGGUAGAGAUUCCGUCCCCACCGAAAGAUUUAAGCACAGGGACACUUUUAGAAGGUCGGAGCCAGGUGUUGGUUCUGGUAGUGAUCGAGGGAAAUUUAGUACCGAAGUCCGGCUGGAUAAGAGGCGAGAAAAGUUGUGUGUAUAUCUAAGGUGCCCGUACCGCAAACCGACACAGGUAGGUAGGAAGAAGAUUCUAAGGCCAACGGGAGAAGGGUUGUUAAGGAACUCGGCAAGUUGACCCCGUAACUUCGGAAUAAGGGGUGCUCACGAGAGUGAGCCGCAGAGAAUAGGCCCAGGCAACUGUUUACCAAAAACACAGGUUUGUGCUAAAUCGAAAGAUGACGUAUACGAGCUGACGCCUGCCCGGUGCUGGAAGGUUAAAAGGAGAUGUGCAAGCAUUGAAUUGAAGCCCCAGUGAACGGCGGCCGUAACUAUAACGGUCCUAAGGUAGCGAAAUUCCUUGUCAGGUAAGUUCUGACCCGCAUGAAAGGCGUAAUGAU
rnacentral:rRNA from 1 species